GAUAACAUUCCGAUGAACAUAUAGUAAAACUGGAACAAUACAGAGAAGAUUAGCAUGGCCCCUGCGCAAGGAUAACACGCAAACUCGUGAAGGUUCCAAGAAAUUA
rnacentral:snRNA from 1 species